AGGGUUUGAUUAUGGCUCAGGAUGAACGCUGGCGGCACGCUUAACACAUGCAAGUCGAGCGGAGAUGUGAGUUGGAAGGGCUACGGCCUGGAAGAAGCAGAUCUUAGCGGCGGACGGGUGAGGAACGCGUGGGUAACCUGCCCUAUACAGGGGGAUAACGUGUAGAAAUGCACGCUAAAACCGCAUAAGCUACAUUGGUCGCAUGACGAAGGUGGAAAAACUGAGGUGGUAUAGGAUGGGCCCGCGUCUGAUUAGCUAGUUGGAGAGGUAAAGGCUCACCAAGGCGACGAUCAGUAGCCGGUCUGAGAGGAUGGACGGCCACAUUGGGACUGAGACACGGCCCAA
rnacentral:rRNA from 1 species